UACGUAGGGGGCUAGCGUUGUCCGGAAUCAUUGGGCGUAAAGAGCGUGUAGGCGGUUCGGUAAGUCCGCUGUGAAAGUCCAGGGCUCAACCCUGGAAUGCCAGUGGAAACUGCCGAGCUAGAGUCCGGAAGAGGCGAGUGGAAUUCCUGGUGUAGCGGUGGAAUGCGCAGAUAUCAGGAGGAACACCAAUAGCGAAGGCAGCUCGCUGGGACGUUACUGACACUGAGGCGCGAAAGCGUGGGGAGCGAACAGG
rnacentral:rRNA from 1 species